UAAGCCAUGCAUGUCUAUGCACAAGCCGAAUACGGUGAAGCCGCGAAUGGCUCAUUACAACAGCCACUGUUUACUUGAUCUUGAUUAUCCUACUUGGAUAACUGUGGUAAUUCUAGAGCUAAUACAUGCAACCAAGCUCCGACCGUAAGGGACGAGCGCAUUUAUUAGAACAAAACCAAUCGGGCUUCGGCCUGAGGUUUGGUGAAUCUGAAUAACUGAGCUGAUCGCAUGGUCUUUGUACCGGCGACGCAUCUUUCAAGUGUCUGCCUUAUCAACUUUCGAUGGUAGUUUAUGUGCCUACCAUGGUUGUAACGGGUAACGGAGAAUAAGGGUUCGACUCCGGAGAGGGAGCCUGAGAAACGGCUACCACAUCCAAGGAAGGCAGCAGGCGCGCAAAUUACCCACUCUCGGCACGAGGAGGUAGUGACGAAAAAUAACGAGGCGGUUCUCUAAGAGGCCCGCUAUCGGAAUGGGUACAAUUUAAACCCUUUAACGAGGACCUAUGAGAGGGCAAGUCUGGUGCCAGCAGCCGCGGUAAUUCCAGCUCUCAAGGUGUAUAUCGCCAUUGCUGCGGUUAAAAAGCUCGUAGUUGGAUCUGCGCCUUCGGACUCGGUCCUCCCAACGGGUGCGAACUGAGCUCCAAGGCUACUACUGCUGGUUUUCCCUUGAUGCUCUUCACUGGGUGUCUUGGGUGGCUAGCGAGUUUACUUUGAAAAAAUUAGAGUGCUCAAAACAGGCUAUCGCCUGAAUACCGGUGCAUGGAAUAAUAGAAUAGGAUCUCGGUCCUAUUUUGUUGGUUUUCGGAACUGAGAUAAUGGUUAAGAGGGACAGACGGGGGCAUUCGUAUCGCUGCGUGAGAGGUGAAAUUCUUGGACCGCAGCGAGACGCCCAACUGCGAAAGCAUUUGCCAAGAAUGUCUUCGUUAAUCAAGAACGAAAGUCAGA
rnacentral:rRNA from 1 species